rnacentral:rRNA from 1 species
AUUGAACGCUGGCGGCAUGCUUUACACAUGCAAGUCGAACGGUAACAGGCCUUCGGGUGCUGACGAGUGGCGAACGGGUGAGUAAUGCAUCGGAACGUACCCAGAGGUGGGGGAUAACGCAGCGAAAGCUGUGCUAAUACCGCAUGUGAUCUGAGGAUGAAAGCGGGGGACCGAGCAGCAAUGUUUGGCCUCGCGCCUUUGGAGCGGCCGAUGUCGGAUUAGCUAGUUGGUGGGGUAAAGGCCUACCAAGGCGACGAUCCGUAGCUGGUCUGAGAGGACGACCAGCCACACUGGGACUGAGACACGGCCCAGACUCCUACGGGAGGCAGCAGUGGGGAAUUUUGGACAAUGGGCGCAAGCCUGAUCCAGCAAUGCCGCGUACGGGAAGAAGGCCUUCGGGUUGUAAACCGCUUUUGGCAGGAACGAAACGGUGUCCGCUAAUACCGGGCGCUAAUGACGGUACCUGCAGAAUAAGCACCGGCUAACUACGUG